UGCCAAUGAUGUGCCUUAACAAUUGCACGUAUUAUCAGAUUUUCAGUGAUGAGUAUCACUUAUUUCUGAGGCA
rfam:Arabidopsis lyrata subsp. lyrata unplaced genomic scaffold ARALYscaffold_1, whole genome shotgun sequence.